UACGUAGGUGGCAAGCGUUAUCCGGAAUUAUUGGGCGUAAAGCGCGCGCAGGCGGUUUCUUAAGUCUGAUGUGAAAGCCCACGGCUCAACCGUGGAGGGUCAUUGGAAACUGGGGAACUUGAGUGCAGAAGAGAAAAGCGGAAUUCCACGUGUAGCGGUGAAAUGCGUAGAGAUGUGGAGGAACACCAGUGGCGAAGGCGGCUUUUGGUCUGUAACUGACGCUGAGGCGCGAAAGCC
rnacentral:rRNA from 1 species